rnacentral:rRNA from 2 species
AGUUGAGUGUCGGAUAGUGGCGGACGGGUGAGUAACACGUGGGCAACCUGCCCUACAGCCUGGGAUACCAUCGGGAAACUGAUGUUAAUACCGGAUACGCUCUUUUGAUCGCAUGAUCUAAGGAGGAAAGAUUUAUCGCUGUAGGAUGGGCCCGCGGUCCAUUAGCUAGUUGGUAGGGUAACGGCCUACCAAGGCGACGAUGGAUAGCUGGUCUGAGAGGACGAUCAGCCACACUGGGACUGAGACACGGCCCAGACUCCUACGGGAGGCAGCAGUGGGGAAUAUUGCGCAAUGGGGGCAACCCUGACGCAGCAAUGCCGCGUGAAGGAUGAAGGCUUUCGGGUCGUAAACUUCUGUCUAGAGGGAUGAAUUUUGACAGUACCUCUGGAGGAAGCCCCGGCUAACUACGUGCCAGCAGCCGCGGUAAUACGUAGGGGGCAAGCGUUGUCCGGAAUUAUUGGGCGUAAAGCGCUCGCAGGCGGUUUUUUAAGUCUGAUGUGAAAUCUUGCGGCUCAACCGCAAGCGGUCAUUGGAAACUGGAGAACUUGAGGACAGAAGAGGAGAGUGGAAUUCCACGUGUAGCGGUGAAAUGCGUAGAGAUGUGGAGGAACACCAGUGGCGAAGGCGACUCUCUGGUCUGUAACUG